UCACUUAUUUUAUUUUAAUGUAAAAAAAUUCAAAAGCAAAAAUUCAAGUUUUAAAAAUUCAAUUAAAAUAAAUACAGGUUGCUCAAAUUCGACCAGUCAAUUUCGACUGCUAAAAUACAACGCUCAAAAUUCGCUGUCAACAUCCGGGACACACAGGAUGAGCAAUCGAUUCAGUCUUCAAUCGAGCCAACAACCAGCCAAUCACAUCACGCUCCGAAGAUCACGUGACAGGUACCGCCUCACGGCCAGCAGUAGGGCAGAGAACCGCUCAACGCGAGUCACAGCCCCCGCCGCUGCUGCUCUCGAGUAGUAAAGUGUUGUAUAACCAUAACUUCCACUAGUGGGUGAUGUUGCCUUGGUGAUAAAGCAGCUAUGCCUGAUCCAUGUCCAGGUAAGAUGUUGUUUAGUUUUUGUUCGUGCCCAAUGCAUAAAGGUGUGUAAAUACAUAUUUUAAAUUAAAAAAAAAAUCCUGUAGAUAAAAAAGAUGCUUUUAUUUUUUUGACAAAAUAAAUCAGCUAUUGCAGGCUAUUAUUGUAGCCUAAUUUCCAUAUACAUUGACACAUAGGAACAGUGUGGAAGUAAAAUAAUGCUGGUCUGCAGAAUAGGUGUGUGGGAUCUCCUGUACUGAUCAUUACCCCCCACUGCACUGUCCACUGUGGGUGGUAAUGUGUUUUACGAUGUAUUCCCAGUACACAUGUGAUGCUGUGGAUUGAGAAAUCCACUGAACCAUCAGGCUUCACUCAAACUUCACUCAAACUGAUAAUUUAUGUCACCUUGAGCCAGAAGUAUGUUGGCCAUUAACAACCUUAACCUCACUUACCAGAUAACACCUCACAACUUAUACAGGUGUAGGUGUUUCGAAGCUGUCUCCAAAGGUAACACUUCAGGACCAAUUUAAACACUUUAGGCAAGUCAAUGUAUGAAUAGUAAGGAAUAGAGUGAACAUUAUGUGUUAUAACCUGUACAAUACUACAUCACAAUAUAUAUUUUAUUAAAAAAGCAAAAUUUUAGUUGUGCAUAAAAUUUGGUUGUAAACUAAUUACCCAAGAAACACAUGCAUAACAUAUAAAAAAACUCAGAGAAGAUAGUUAUCACUGGUUGUUUGGGGAACAAAUACAAUGUUUUAUUUUGUACAGUAGAUAAUACAAAACGUUAAAACUAUCACUCACAUCAAUUGAAAUUAAGGGAAUGGUUCAGCAGAUAAAGGUGAUUUCACUAUGGACUGAGAAUCACUAUUAAGAAUUCUGGAUCAAAACCAAGAACAACAUUUAAAGAACUGCAGGUGUCACUUGCCUCAGUUAAGGUCAGUGUUAAUGAUUCAAUAAUAAGACUGGUUAAAAAUGGUCUCCUUGGGAGAGUUCCAAGGCAAAAAACAACCCAUUAAUUUACUGGAAAUAAUCACACCUAUUUGGAAAGCUCCAAAAAAAUUUAAACUUCAAUUUUACUUUCCUCAACCAGGCCUGAUUACUACCAGAUGUGCAGAAGCAAGAAAUCAUUUAGAAUCUGUAUGUUUUGAUACAUCUGGCAUAAAAUUAUCACAUAAUUUUAGAAAAAGAACAUCAUACUAAACGUAAAACAUGGUGGUGGUAGUAUGAUGGUCUGGAGCUGCUCUGCUGCUUCAGGGCCUGGACAACUUGCCUUUAAUAGAUAGAAUCAGGAAUUCUGCUGUUUACCAGACAAUCCUGAGGGAGAAUGUCCGGCCAUCUGUUUGUGACCUCAAGCUCAGAUGUACUUGGGUUCUGCAGCAGGACAAUGAUCCAAAUCUUACAAACUAGUCCAGCUCUGAAUGGCUUAAAAAAACAAAAAACAACAGGUUUUGGAGUGAUCUAGUCGAAGUUGCUGUGAUCUUAAACAGGACAUUUCUGCCUACAAACCGUCCAAUGUGGCUCAAUUAAAACAAUUCUGUAAAGAGGAAUGGAUCAAUAUUUCUCCACAGAGAUGUGAAAGCCUCAUUGUAAGUUAUUGGUAAAGUUUAAUUACAAUUGAUGCCACCAAUGGUGGCACAACCAAGUUAUUAGGUUUAGGGGCAAACACUUUUUUUUCACAAAUAGCUAGAUUGAUUUGGAUUUUUUUCUAUAAAAAAUAAAUAAAAUUUUCAUUUAAAAAGUGCUUUUUAUAUUUACUCAGGUUAUCUUUUUCUGAUAAUUAAGUUGGUUUGAUAAUCAGAAAAAUAUUAGUAUGACAACAAAGCAAAAACAAAAUAAAUCUAUAGUGGGGGAAUUAUUUUUCACGCCACUGUAUAUUCCGGCAAGCUACAACAACUGCUGACGCCCCACCCUGCUAGUUAUACAAGAUAACAGAUCCGUGUUAAAGUGUUUGCAUCCUGACAGGAGCGGGCAUGUUCAGGAUCACAAUGCCCUCAAGCACAGGCCAUGAGUAAGCACAUAAUGGUUUCCUGAAAACACCUGAGUACACCUGCUCAAAACCAGCUUAAGCUAGUUACAACAACAUAGUUAAAACUACUUAAACUAUAAUGAAUUAGGCUUAUGAGUUUUAUUAUUUUAUUUGUUAAAGAAAGUAGACAUAGGUAAACAUUGAUUCUUUAAAAAAAAUAUAUGCCUAUAAGAGAUUCUCUUGUUAAACAGCUGUUAAAAGCUGUAAAAGGUAAUUAUAAGUAGCCUAUACGUAACACACAACUUUGCCUUGGUUAAAAGGCCCAUAUUCCACAUUUAACUUGAAUGUGAUAUGUUCAGGUUCAUGUAUGAGGCUAAUAUAUGUUUAUGCAUCAAAUCAUUUUUACAUUACCAUUUCUAACCUCACUGUUAGACUUAAAUAAUUAUUAAAAAAUAGAAUGAAUAAAUAUAAGCAGUUUUUAAAUGAUAAUUUUAUUUAUUAAAUGAAAACUGUGUGUGAAAAAGUGUUUGCCCUUAAACCCAAUGACUUGGUUGUGCCACCCUUGGCAGCAACAACUCCAUCAAGCUUUACCGGUGACUGGCAAAGAGUCUUUAUAUCUCUGGCGAGGAAUUAUGGGCCACUUUUCAUUGCAGGGCAAGUUGUCCAGGCCCUGAAGCAUCAAAGCAGCCCCAGACCAUCACACUACCACCACCAUGUUUUACAUUCGGUAUGAUGUUCUUUUUCUGAAAUUAUGAUAGUUUUAUGCCAGAUGUAACGAAACAUACAGGUUCUAAGUGAUUUCUUGAUUCCGAAGGUCUGGCAGUAAUCAGGCCUGGUUGAGGACAGUAAAAUUGAACUUGUGAAAAAACUGUGAUUAAUCAGAGUUACAUCUUGGGGGGCAAACACUAUUUCACUUUUUUUUCAAGGCUACAUUGGUUUGGAUAGUUUUUCCCCUUAAUAAAUUAAAUAAUUGUUUAAAAAGUUAAUUUGAUAAUCUGAAAAAUGCAAGUAUGACAAACAUGCAAAAACAAAAGAAAUCUGUAAGAGGGCUUUUUACUUUUUCAUGCUACUGUUACACCUUAGCUGGUGUCUGCCUUGUGUUUUUUUCUGUUUUUGGUCCCAUGUGCUCCUGUCCAAUGUUCUCCUGUCUUGUGUCCCUGUUUUGUUAUUGUCCUGUCUCCUCUCUAGCACCACCGGUCUUGCUUGUAACCCUGGUCCCUUGUUACCGGUCCCAGAUGUUUCUCAUCCUCAUCAUGUUUCGGUGUUCCUUGUUAAGUAUUGUGUUUGCCUUGUACGCUCCAUGUCUGGUUUGUGUAUUUCCUUGUAUUUGUAGAUUUUGUGUCUUGUAUCUUUUUCAUUCUUUGUAUGCUUUGUGAUCUCCUGGUCUGGUUUGUUUGUUUAUGUGCUCAAAGUCUUAGUUCAUCUUUAUCUUGUUUGCUUAGUUUUUCAAUCUAUCUGGUUUCAUCUAGAUCUAUCUUUAGUCUUGUCCUAUGUCUUACCUAUGUUUGCUUUCUGUUUAGUUUAUGUUUAUUUCAAUUAAAUUAUUGUAUGCAUUUAUGUUCGUAUCAUUCCUUGUUUGUGAAAGCCACUGUAUGUGUAUGCAUAUACACUGGUAUGAAAAAGUUUGAGCACCCCUGAUAAUUUUCUUGUUUUGGACCCAUGCAACCCUCAACUUGAUGAACCACCACCAAAUUUUACUGUGGGUAGUAAGUGUUUGUCUUGGAAUGCUGAGUUAUUUUUCCUCUAUACAUACCGCUCUCCAAAUAACUCCAAAAUAAUUUUAGUUUCGCCCACCUUAUUCCAAAAUGGAGCUGGCUUGUCCAAAUGCAAUUUAGCAUACCUCAAGCGACUCUUUUUGUGGAGUGUGCUCAGAAAAGGCUUCUUCUGCAUUUCUCUCCCAUACAGCCUCUCCUUCUGCAAGGUGUGCUGGGUAGCUGAACGAUUGUAGGUGUUUGAAGCUGGUCUAUGGGGUUGACUAUGACUGUUCUGACCAUCCUUUUCCUCUGCUUAUCUGAUAUUUUUCUUUACCUGCCACUCCAGGCCUUAACUAGAACUGUAUCUGUGGUCUUCAAUUUCCUCUCUAUGUUCCUCAGAGUGGAAACUGACAGCAGAAAUCUCAGAGCUUUUUUUUAGCUUUUUAUAUCCUUUCCCUAAACCAUGAUGUUGAACACUUUUUUUUUAGGUCAUUUGAUAGUAGUUUUGAGGCUCUCAUGUUGUCACUCAUCAGAAAAAACUUGCAAUUGGCCACCUUAACCUUUUCUCAUAAUUUGACUCACCUGUGUAUGUAGAUCAAGGGUUAAUUAGGUUACCAAACAAAUUUUGUUUUACAAUAAUUAGUGCUAAAGGUAUUUAUAUCAAUAAAAUGGCAAAGGUGCCCAAAUUUAUGCGCCUGCCUAAUUUUGUUUAAGUAAUUACUGCACAUUUUCACAUUGUUAAUCCUAUAAACUUAAUUUCAGUUCUAAAAUUUUACUGUGCUCAUCUGCUAUAUGAUACAUUUAACUGAAAUUGCUGAUCCAAAUAACCAGUGAUUUAUAAAGAAAACAUCCUGAAAAUUAUCAUGGGUGCCCAAACUUUUUCAUACCACUGUAUAUGCAGCUAAAACAGGUGUCCUAGUGCUUUCCAAAAUGUUCUUAUCUUGCUUUUGUCUUAUCUAUACUUCUACCUUCUGAUGAAUGUAAAUACUUUUCACACCUUUGCAUGUAACCCUUUACAUAUCUGUCUGAUAUGUAUCCUCAUUGUGAGUUUUGCUGCAAUCUGUGGUGUGUUAUUUUUGUUGUCCAUGGAAAAAUGGGCUGUAUAAACUUACACCAAUGCCUAUA